rnacentral:rRNA from 1 species
GACGAACGCUGGCGGCGUGCUUAACACAUGCAAGUCCAACGAUGACGACCGAGCUUGCUCGGUCUGAUUAGUGGCGAACGGGUGAGUAACACGUGAGCAACCUGCCCUUCACUCUGGGAUAACCUCGGGAAAUCGGGGCUAAUACCGGAUAUGAGCUCCUGUCGCAUGGCGGGUGUUGGAAAGUUUUUCGGUGAAGGAUGGGCUCGCGGCCUAUCAGUUUGUUGGUGAGGUAGUGGCUCACCAAGGCGAUGACGGGUAGCCGGCCUGAGAGGGCGACCGGCCACACUGGGACUGAGACACGGCCCAGACUCCUACGGGAGGCAGCAGUGGGGAAUAUUGCACAAUGGGCGAAAGCCUGAUGCAGCGACGCCGCGUGAGGGAUGACGGCCUUCGGGUUGUAAACCUCUUUCAGCAGGGAAGAAGCGAAAGUGACGGUACCUGCAGAAGAAGCGCCGGCUAACUACGUG